AGCUGGUUUUACUUUCCCGGACAAUGAGUUUUCAGAAUGUUUAUGAUUUUUCCCCUAUUUGUAGCCAAGAACAGUAAUUGGAUAUGCAACUGAUAAUGCCCCUGGGUACAUCUGGACUAAAUUAACUAAAAACCCUGCCUCUCCGUUGCCUUUUCAGCAGUCAAGAAUGUAUCCAGCUCUCAGGCCAUUUUCUAAUUGGCUGCUCCAGCUCUUAAUCUCAUCUAAGGGAAGUCUCUACAGAGCGAUAGGAUUCAGAAGUACAGGUAAUCCUUGGGUUAUGACCAUUAAUCAACAGCCCUGUUCAAAAUUACAACUGCACUGAAUGAGGGGGACUUAUGAUGGACCCUCAGUGUUCCUGCCAUUGCAACAUCCCCACAGUCAUGUGAUUGCAAUUUCCAACAUUCCCCACCAGCUUCCCACAAGCAAAGUCAACAGGGUAGCCGGCAGGAAGUUGGAAGUUGUAUUCAUGUGAGGUCCUCACUUAAUGACCUGCACAGUCCUGGUUUAAUGACAACAAUAGGGACUGCUGGAAUUGCCACUGUGAAGCGAUGCAUCACAUGUCAUGGUUUAUGACCACAUCACUUAGUAACAAAGUUCAAGGUCCCAUUUUGUCAUAUUUGUUGUAACUUGCGGACUACAUGUGGUUUGCUAGGGAUUAGACAUAGCAAUAUUGUAAUGACAUCAGUCACACAAAAGAAGUAAGUCUGCACUGAUUCAUGUGAAAUGAAGUAGGAUUUUUAACUCAUGUAAAUGAUAUAUAAGAGAGUCAGUGUGGUGUAGUUGUUAUGGUACCAGAUAGAAACUGGGAGAGUGUGAGUUUUUGUCCCAUUAGGCACAAAGCCAACUUGAUGACCUUGAGCCAGUCACUUAGCCCUAGGAAGGAAGAAGCGUCAAACCACUUCUAAAAAAUCUUGCAGUUGCCAGGAGUCAUCACUGAUUCAAAGGGACAAAAGAAAAAAAAAGAUAUUCAAUUACCUAUUCCUCCCUGUAAUAAAAUAAUAUCUGUGACCAAUUCAUAAUGUUAGCAUUUUAAUUCAUCUAAGUCAGGAAAACUUCUCUGAGAAAAGAAUUUGUGAUUUGGGCAUUCAUAUCUAAAACAAAGGCUCCUUUUUUAUUCAGAACUAUGCACUUAAUUCACACAUGACACGUCACAAGGUGGCUUGUGUUUUUGCCAUUGUGCGACCAUAGAGACCAUAAACAUCAUAAAGUCUUUAAAAAAAUGUUUUGUGUGUCUUAAGAUGGGUUUCACCAAAUAUGCUACAGGAUCAAAACCAAGCCAUUUGUAUCAGUAUUACAGGUAGCCCUUGUGUUAUGACAGCAGUCAGGAUGGGAUUGUUGUUGCUAAGUGAUACAGUCAUAUAACGCAUGAUGUCAUCAGUUAGCAAUCCCAGGGAAUCCGGUAGCCAUGGUAAUCCCAAGAUGGGCAGAUCUUUAAGCAGGAAGAGGGCUGGAGUCCCAGGAAAGGCCCACUGAUCAGCUUUCCUUCAGGAAGAGGGUACAGUACUUGUUUCUAGUGGAUAUCUUUUCUCUGAAAUCAGUCUUUCUUGUGGCAUUCUAGGUGACUAUUACGCUGCUUUAUCACGUGGAACGCCUCUGAAAAACAAGGGGCCCUCUAGGAUCCAUAUGCACAGAGAUUACAUAGGUGCGAUCCAAUCCAAGCAAAGGUUACUCUCUCAUUUCAAG